rnacentral:lncRNA from 1 species
AUGACGCUCAGACAGGUCAAGCAGUUAGUCAUAGUCCCUGAGCUUAUGAAUGAGGAGCUGAGAUUUAAGGCACCCUCUUGCCUUCAGGAGCUCACAGCUGGGGGCAGCAGACAGGCUGUGAGUCAUUCGAAUCCAGGACAGACUGGAAGGAACAGCCACUGCCCUUCUGAGCACUUGCUCUCUUUCCCAGCACUGAACCCGUGCAGGGAAGCAGGUGGCCAGGCAGUUGCUGAGGGAGAACAAAGGUGUGGCCUGGGUGGUGACAGCUACUGAGGUUCUCGGCCCGAUACUGAUCACCCAGAGGAACAAUCCCAAAGUGGCAUUUAGCCAAACGGGUGAUAGGUGAGUUUCCUCCUAAAACCAAGUCAACUACACAUGGCGUCUCAGACCUCUGGGAAAGGGAGAGAAAAAAGGUUUCUAAGGAAAAGCAAUGGUCCGUGUACAAUGCUUAGUAAUAUAACGAUAACAAUAGGUCACAGUCAUUAUACUAUGUCUGGCCCUGUACUAAGUCCUUCAUACGUGUUCCCGAGGGCAAGCUUCAAGACGCUGCCUACAAAGUAGGUGUUAUUAUUGUUGUCUCCGUUGGAGAGAUGUGAAAACUGAGGCUCAGCGACAUUAAAUAUUUGUCCAAGGUCACACAGUAAGAAGCAACAUCAGGAUUCCAGUUUGGGACUUUCGUGAUUCCAGCAUCAUGGAAACCGGAAUCUGGGGCGAGUUGCUGGGGCAAAUUAAAGCGCACAGCGCCCCACUGACCCCUACAUAAGCGGGGAUGAGGAGGGAGAGUGGGAUAGACUGUGUAUAAAUAGCAGGCCUGUUUUUAUCCCUACACAUGGGCUGCAUCAGGCCAGCAGCUCUAUCUGGCACAAUUUGAGGGCUCUGAAUGCCAACCCAGCCCUGUGUCAUACAACUCCCGCCCCAGCACGUCCCUGGGAGCUGAAAUGCCUACUGAGAGAGUCAUUUCUUUGGGCCAGGACACUGACUCCAGAAGACCCCUGUAAAAAUACUUCGGAUGGAAGAGAAACACAUCAAUCUCCUGGCACCUGUUUUUUUUUUUUUUUUUUUUUUUUUUUUUUUUUUUUUU